rnacentral:rRNA from 1 species
GUGGGGAAUAUUGGACAAUGGGCGAAAGCCUGAUCCAGCCAUGCCGCGUGUGUGAAGAAGGUCUUCGGAUUGUAAAGCACUUUAAGUUGGGAGGAAGGGCAGUAAGUUAAUACCUUGCUGUUUUGACGUUACCAACAGAAUAAGCACCGGCUAACUUCGUGCCAGCAGCCGCGGUAAUACGAAGGGUGCAAGCGUUAAUCGGAAUUACUGGGCGUAAAGCGCGCGUAGGUGGUUCAGCAAGUUGAAGGUGAAAUCCCCGGGCUCAACCUGGGAACUGCCUCCAAAACUACUGAGCUAGAGUACGGUAGAGGGUAGUGGAAUUUCCUGUGUAGCGGUGAAAUGCGUAGAUAUAGGAAGGAACACCAGUGGCGAAGGCGACUACCUGGACUGAUACUGACACUGAGGUGCGAAAGCGUGGGGAGCAAACAGGAUUAGAAACCCGAGUAGUCC